rnacentral:lncRNA from 1 species
UAUCUCCACGUCUUGUUGAUUUGCUAUCUGAACAAAUGUCUUCAAUAUAGACGACAAAUCUUCAAGCAGCUCUUUCGGCUUCGAUUUACCCAAACAAAUACAUCUCGAUUCUCCACUAGACUCACCUUCAAAUUGCAAAGGUAUUUCUUCCAACGAUGAUGAAUUGUCAUUCCACUUGAAAUAACCACAAUCUACUACAACAUGAGAAUAAGCAGCCUAUGUUUUCAAUUUUUUUUCUCUACCUCCAUACAUUUCAAAAAACCCAAUCCACAUCCUCGAUGUCGUUUCUUUGUUGGGCAUUCUGACAUGUGGUUUCAAUGAAGUAAUUAGUUAAAAGCAACCUGCACAUCCACGAGCGUGCAUGGAUGAAAUCAUAUGCAUAGUGUGGUUGAUAUAUGAUUUUCUCUAAAAUAGUGAUCAAACCAAUGGCUACUCAAUUGUACCUUAUUCAACUUGCCGAUAUUCAAACUUAUGCUAAAUCACAAUUUUGGUCAAUCCAAAUUAGUUCACAUACCAAAGGGUUGGGGGAUCUUAAACUUCAAUUCAAAAGAGUAAUCAUGCUUAAACAUCAUUUAAUUUAGAUCAAUAGCCCCUUUAAUUUAACAUAUCCUCGAGCAUUAAAACUGAUUACCGUAACUUUCAUUCAAAAUUUCACAAUCAACCAGUCGUUCAAAAUCAACAACCAUUUUUUAAAACAAUUAAAUGCAUUGUCAUGAAAUACCUUCAGAUGAAGUGUACCUUCUAUGUAUGGUAUUGGUUGUCGAUUUUAGCUAGCACAAACCAAAUCAAAUUGGAUGUUUGAAAUGGAAUUGGGGGUUAGGGCUCUGGGUGUGAUUUUGUGCUUGACUCAUUUCUUCUCAUGCUUUCAUUUUCCCCCAAAUUAAAGGUUUUCCAAAAUCGC